rnacentral:rRNA from 1 species
AGCGAACGCUGGCGGCAGGCUUAACACAUGCAAGUCGAGCGGACCUUUCGGGGUCAUCGUCGGACGGGGGAGUAACGCGUGGGAACGGUCCUUCCGGGUCGGAAUAACCCUGGGAAACUAGGGCUAAUACCGGAUACGCCCUUAUGGGGGAAGGUUUACUGCCCGAGGAUCGUCCCGCGUCUGAUUAGCUAGUUGGUGCGGUAACAGCCUACCAAGGCGACGAUCAGUAGCUGGGCUGAGAGGAUGAUCAGCCACACUGGGAGUGGGAAACGGCCCAGACUCCUCCGGGAGGGAGCAGAGGGGAAUAUUGCAACAUGGGCGGAAGCAUGAUGGAGCUCUGACGCGUGAGUGAUGAAGGCCUUAAGGUUGUAAAGCUCUUUUAUCCGGGACGAUCAUGACGGUACCGGAGGAAUAAGCCCCGGCUAACUUCGUG